CCUACGGGAGGCAGCAGUAAGGAAUAUUGGACAAUGCUCGCAAGAGUGAUCCAGCCAUGCCGCGUGCAGGAAGAAUGCCCUAUGGGUAGUAAACUGCUUUUGAACUAGAGAAAAUCCCAGUACGUGUACUGGGCUGAUAGUAUAGUUAGAAUAAGCAUCGGCUAACUUCGUGCCAGCAGCCGCGGUAAGACGAAGGAUGCAAGCGUUAUCCGGAUUCAUUGGGUUUAAAAGGGAGCGUAGGUGGACUGAUAAGUCAGUGGUGAAAUCUCCGAGCUUAACUCGGAAAUUGCCAUUGAUACUGUUGGUCUUGAGUACAGUUGCUGUGGGCGGAAUAUGACAUGUAGUGGUGAAAUACAUAGAGAUGUCAUAGAACACCGAUUGCGAAGGCAGCUCACAAAGCUGUAACUGACACUGAGGCUCGAAAGUGCGGGGAUCAAACAGGAUUAGAUACCCUGGUAGUCCGCACCGUAACGAUGAUUACUCGCUGCUAGGGGGCAACCGUUAGUGGCUUAGCGAAAGCGAUAAGAAUCCACCUGGGAGUACGCCGGCAACCGGUGAAACGUUAAAGGGAAUUAGACGG
rnacentral:rRNA from 1 species